AACGAACGCUGGCGGCAUGCCUAACACAUGCAAGUCGAACGAGACCUUCGGGUCUAGUGGCGCACGGGUGCGUAACGCGUGGGAAUCUGCCCUUCGGUUGGGAAUAACUGAGAGAAAUUUCAGCUAAUACCUUAUAAUGUCUUCGGACCAAAGAUUUAUCGCCGAGGGAUGAGCCCGCGUAGGAUUAGGUAGUUGGUGGGGUAAUGGCCUACCAAGCCGACGAUCCUUAGCUGGUCUGAGAGGAUGAUCAGCCACACUGGGACUGAGACACGGCCCAGACUCCUACGGGAGGCAGCAGUGGGGAAUAUCGGACAAUGGGCGAAAGCCUGAUCCAGCAAUGCCGCGUGAGUGAUGAAGGCCUUAGGGUUGUAAAGCUCUUUUACCCGGGAUGAUAAUGACAGUACCGGGAGAAUAAGCUCCGGCUAACUCCGUG
rnacentral:rRNA from 1 species